UCCGUCCAUUGACAUUCAUCUCACUAUAGAGGAAGAUGCAUACAGCCAGGACGUUUAUUCGCUCCGGGAGGGAAGAACAACUGUGAGGAAGGAAAAUCUACAUUGUGACAAUACUCCGGAUUACAGGGGAUUAGAAAAUAGUUUCUGUGAUAUAGAAACCAAUUUCUGGGAUGAGAGAUAUAUCAGUAAUUACAUUUGCUGCCAGUCCGUGGGUUCUUCCGUUCUAGGAACCCUUCCCUGUAGGAACCAGAGCCUGGAUAUCUGCUGGGGAUCCUGGGGUACCUGGAGCAGUUGCCAGCAGUCCUGGAUCCAGGGUGAACAGAUCCGACUGGUCCGGACCAGGUUUCGUUUAGCACGGAGCGGAGAGGAAUGCGUCCUUGCGGAUAUAUUCAACCAGGACUGUUUUACAGGGGAUAUUUUGGGACCAUGCUCAUCAAACCUUUCCCGAACCAUGCUUCAUCCCUGUUAAAUCUUUUAAUAUAACUUGUUUGUAAAAUGAAUUAUGAAUUCUAAGAAAAUACCCAGGAAAAUAUCUAAAUGUAAGGAAAGGAACUUUCAUUUUCCAAUACCUAUAUCUUUGUAAUCUUUGACGUUUUUGGGCUGCUGAAGAACUAGUUUAUGCGUAACAACAAUAAUAAAGAUUGUAAACAAUAACACAAAUUAUUAACAAACAUCUGGCAUUUCUGGCGUUAGAUGAAGAUUCACCGGAUACUAACUCAUGUUUGUUUACAUUAGAUCGGCUGCCUUUG